UACGAAGGUGGCAAGCGUUAUUCGAAAUCACUGGGCUUAAAGGGCGCGUAGGCGGACAUGAAAGUGUUUUGUGAAAUCCCCCGGCUUAACCGGGGAAUUGCUUGGCAAACUACAUGUCUUGAGUCAAGUAGGGGUGUGUGGAACUCUUGGUGGAGCGGUGGAAUGCGUAGAUAUCAAGAGGAACGCCGAAGGUGAAGACAGCACACUGGGCUUGAACUGACGCUGAGGCGCGAAAGCGUGGGGAGCAAACAGG
rnacentral:rRNA from 1 species